CUCCACCAGUCAGGUGAGGUUAGGACAAAGCAUAGUUCUGAAGACCUGACCUGGAGGCAGAGUGAAGACAUCUCUCCCUUCAGAUGUCUAUCUGGAGUUCAGGGUUUCCUGGGUUCUGGUCUGCCCUGAAUCAAAAGGACUCUUGCUGCUGCUUACUGUUUGGGUCCGCACUGCCUUUAUGAGCUGUAACAGUAAUCACAAAGGUCUGCAGCUUCACUCCUGAGCCAGUGAGACCAGCAACCCAUCACAAGGAAGAAACUCCAAACAUGUCCAAAUAUCAGAAGGAACAAACUCCUGACACACUGCUUUUAAGAACUGUAACACUCACCGCCAGGGUCUGAGGCUUCAUUCUUGAAGUCAGUGAGACCAAGAACCCACCAAUUCUGGACACACUGGGUUUACAGAUGUGAGCCUCGGCGCUUGGCCACCAUGCCUUUUUUAGGGUGGCCUAUUUUAUAUGUGUACACACUUCUCCGUUUUGAAAUGAGACGUUCUUACACCCAAACAGAUCCUGAAAUAAAGCUUCAGGUUUUCUCAGAUGAUGUAUGUGUUUUCAGUGUGAUCAAUAACUGAUCAUUUCUUCUCUUUUUUCCUUUACCUAAUUUAAAUAUGAUUUGUCUGCUGGGACUCUGGAUACAUUGUGAAAAGUUUUCGAUUAUUUUCAGCCCCGGCAAUCGGUUUUAUUCUCUGUGUUUAGUUCACAAAACAGAGUCUCAGAAGGGCAAUGUCUGUAAUUUGCCACUGGGUGACUGUGCCUAGCACAAAACCUAGCGUGUGGGAAGCUGCAUAAAUGCCAUUUAGACACAUAAAUAAAAACCGUUUACCUAUGACACAUUUUAUUCUUUCUAGGUAUAAAAGGCGGGAAACUGGUAAUUUGAAAUCAAAACAGUACUUUUUAGUUUGAAA
rnacentral:lncRNA from 1 species